CCCUUAGAUGUUCUGGGCUGCACGCGCGCUACACUGAUGCACUCAACGAGUUUACGACCUUGUCCGAGAGGAUUGGGUAAUCUUUUUAAAAUGCAUCGUGAUGGGGAUAGAUUAUUGCAAUUAUUAAUCUUCAACGAGGAAUUCCUAGUAAGCGCGAGUCAUCAGCUCGCGUUGAUUACGUCCCUGCCCUUUGUACACACCGCCCGUCGCUCCUACCGAUUGAAUGGUCCGGUGAAAUCUUCGGAUUGCUGGAUAGGACUUCAUUGACCUAUCUGCGAGAAGUUGCUUGAACCUUAUCAUUUAGAGGAAGGAGAAGUCGUAACA
rnacentral:rRNA from 1 species